rnacentral:rRNA from 1 species
GAACGUACGCUGGCGGCACGCCUAACACAUGCAAGUCGAACGAAGUAGCAAUACUUAGUGGCAGACGGGUGAGUAACAUGUAGGUAUCUGCCCUUUGGCCUGGAAUAACACGAGGAAACUUGUGCUAAUACCGGAUAAGUCUUUACGGAGAAAGCUUUAUGCACCAUUGGAUGAGCCCGCACUUGAUUAGUUUGUUGGUGGGGUAAUGGCCUACCAAGACUGUGAUCAAUAGCUGAUUUGAGAGGAUGAUCAGCCACAUUGGGACUGAGACACGGCCCAAACUCCUACGGGAGGCAGCAGUGGGGAAUCUUGCACAAUGGAGGAAACUCUGAUGCAGCGAUGCCGCGUGAGUGAAGAAGGCCUUUGGGUUGUAAAGCUCUUUCGUCGGGGAAGAAAAUGACUGUACCCGAAUAAGAAGGUCCGGCUAACUUCGUGCCAGCAGCCGCGGUAAUACGAAGGGACCUAGCGUAGUUCGGAAUUACUGGGCUUAAAGAGUUCGUAGGUGGUUGAAAAAGUUAGUGGUGAAAUCCCCAGAGCUUAACUCUGGAACUGCCAUUAAAACUUUUCAGCUAGAGUAUGAUAGAGGAAAGCAGAAUUUCUAGUGUAGAGGUGAAAUUCGUAGAUAUUAGAAAGAAUACCAAUUGCGAAGGCAGCUUUCUGGAUCAUUACUGACACUGAGGAACGAAAGCAUGGGUAGCGAAGAGGAUUAGAUACCCUCGUAGUCCAUGCCGUAAACGAUGUGUGUUAGACGUUGGAAAUUUAUUUUCAGUGUCGCAGGGAAACCGAUAAACACACCGCCUGGGGAGUACGACCGCAAGGUUAAAACUCAAAUGAAUUGACGGGGACCCGCACAAGUAGUGGAGCAUGUGGUUUAAUUCGAAGAUACGCGCAGAACCUUACCAACACUUGACAUGUUCGUCGCGACUCUAAGAGAUUAGAGUUUUCGGUUCGGCCGGACGAAACACAGGUGCUGCAUGGCUGUCGUCAGCUCGUGUCGUGAGAUGUUGGGUUAAGUCCCGCAACGAGCGCAACCCUCACUUUUAGUUGCCAUCAUUAAGUUGGGCACUCUGAAAGAACUGCCAGUGAUAAGCUGGAGGAAGGUGGGGAUGACGUCAAGUCCUCAUGGCCCUUACGUGUUGGGCUACACACGUGCUACAAUGGUAUCUACAACAGGAAGCAAGACUGCGAAGUUAAGCAAAUCCCUAAAAGAUACCUCAGUUCGGAUUGCACUCUGCAACUCGAGUGCAUGAAGCUGGAAUUACUAGUAAUCGUGGAUCAGCGUGCCACGGUGAAUGCGUUCCCGGGUCUUGUACUCACCGC